ACGGAAGGCAGCAGUGAGGAAUAUUGGUCAAUGGGCGAGAGCCUGAACCAGCCAAGUAGCGUGAAGGAUGACUGCCCUAUGGGUUGUAAACUUCUUUUGUUUGGGAAUAAAGUGAGCCACGUGUGGCUUUUUGUAUGUACCAUUCGAAUAAGCAUCGGCUAAUUCCGUGCCUGCAGCCGCGGUAAUACGGAAGAUGCGAGCGUUAUCCGGAUUUAUUGGGUUUAAAGGGAGCGUAGGCGGAAGGUUAAGUCUGCGGUCAAAUGUCAGGGCCCAACCUUGGCAUGCCGUGGAUACUGUCCUUCUUGAGUGCACACAAGGAAGAUGGAAUUCGUCGCGUAGCGGUGAAAUGCUUAGAUAUGACGAAGAACCCCGAUUGCGAAGGCAGUCUUCUGGGGUGUUACUGACGCUGAGGCUCGAAAGUGCGGGAAUCAAACAGGAUUAGAUACCCUGGUA
rnacentral:rRNA from 1 species